UACGGAGGGUGCGAGCGUUGUCCGGAAUUAUUGGGCGUAAAGAGCUCGUAGGCGGUCUGUCACGUCGGCUGUGAAAACCCGAGGCUCAACCUCGGGCCUGCAGUCGAUACGGGCAAACUAGAGUGUUGCAGGGGAGACUGGAAUUCCUGGUGUAGCGGUGAAAUGCGCAGAUAUCAGGAGGAACACCGGUGGCGAAGGCGGGUCUCUGGGCCGAUACUGACGCUGAGGAGCGAAAGCGUGGGGAGCGAACAGG
rnacentral:rRNA from 1 species